AGUGUUCUAGCUCAGUGGUUAAGAUGUUGGACUACUGAUCGAAAGGUUGAGAGUUCAAAUCCCAGUGCCACUA